CAGCUGUCCCGUGCUAUAUUGUGGUUCACUUAUCACAGCUUCACUGUGUUGCAGGUUUAAAAAAAUCUAAUUCCAUAUUGUGUUUUUUUCACUAUAUUGCAGGAUUUUGCAGAUGAAUACUAUACUGUACACAAUGGAAAUGCAGUUUGCCACUACUACUGACACAAGUUUGCCAAGGCUUGUGAGGUGGUUGCUGUUAGUAUCUUCAUUUUGAAGAUGAGAAAACGGAGCCUGAAGGACUUUAGUCUGUUUGAGAUUACACAGGUGGUGAGUAUCUGCCCUACAUUUUAGAGAUAGUAUAUAAAUGUAGAAAAGUGCAACUCUUUCUCCAAGGUAACUGCAAAAUACAUCUCAAAUCAGCAAAUGACCAAUUUCUAUAUGAAGAGCCCAUAUAAUGGUACAAGAUUUCAGAGCCUGUGAGAGAUCAAUCACUUCAGACUAUUGUUGUUGGGGAAAAGGUUAAUGAAAUCUUGGGCAAGAUCUUAAAAGAUAGAGAACAGCCUAAGUCAGAGUUCAGACACAAAAAUUAC
rnacentral:lncRNA from 1 species